rnacentral:rRNA from 1 species
AGGGAAUCUUCCGCAAUGGACGAAAGUCUGACGGAGCAACGCCGCGUGAGUGAUGAAGGUUUUCGGAUCGUAAAGCUCUGUUGCCAGGGAAGAACGUCCGUUAGAGUAACUGCUAACGGAGUGACGGUACCUGGGAAGAAAGCCCCGGCUAACUACGUGCCAGCAGCCGCGGUAAUACGUAGGGGGCAAGCGGUGUCCGGAAUUAUUGGGCGUAAAGCGCGCGCAGGCGGCUGUUUACGUCUGGUGUAUAAUCCUGGGGCUCAACUCCGGGUCGCACUGGAAACUGGACGGCUUGAGUGCAGAAGAGGAGAGUGGAAUUCCACGUGUAGCGGUGAAAUGCGUAGAGAUGUGGAGGAACACCAGUGGCGAAGGCGACUCUCUGGGCUGUAACUGACGCUGAGGCGCGAAAGCGUGGGGAGCAAAC